UACGGGGGGGGCAAGCGUUGUUCGGAAUUACUGGGCGUAAAGGGUGCGUAGGCGGGUCUUUAAGUCAGGGGGGAAAUCCUGGAGCUCAACUCCAGAACUGCCUUUGAUACUGAAGAUCUUGAGUUCGGGAGAGGUGAGUGGAACUGCGAGUGUAGAGGUGAAAUUCGUAGAUAUUCGCAAGAACACCAGUGGCGAAGGCGGCUCACUGGCCCGAUACUGACGCUGAGGCACGAAAGCGUGGGGAGCAAACAGG
rnacentral:rRNA from 1 species